rnacentral:rRNA from 1 species
AUGGAGCUUUACUGCAGUUUGAUAUUGAGUGUCUGUACCACAUGUACAGGAUAGGUAGGAGUCUAAGAGAUCGGGACGCCAGUUUCGAAGGAGACGUUGUUGGGAUACUACCCUUGUGUUAUGGCCACUCUAACCCGGAUAGGUGAUCCCUAUCGGAGACAGUGUCUGACGGGCAGUUUGACUGGGGCGGUCGCCUCCUAAAAGGUAACGGAGGCGCCCAAAGGUUCCCUCAGAAUGGUUGGAAAUCAUUCGCAGAGUGUAAAGGUAUAAGGGAGCUUGACUGCGAGAGCUACAACUCGAGCAGGGACGAAAGUCGGGCUUAGUGAUCCGGUGGUUCCGUAUGGAAGGGCCAUCGCUCAACGGAUAAAAGCUACCCUGGGGAUAACAGG